UUCCUUUAGCUUAGAUGAAGGUGAGGACAAU
rnacentral:piRNA from 1 species